rnacentral:rRNA from 1 species
CCUACGGGGGGCAGCAGUGGGGAAUUUUGCGCAAUGGGCGGACGCCUGACGCAGCGACGCCGCGUGCGGGACGAAGGCCUUCGGGUCGUAAACCGCUUUCAGCAGGGACGAGGCGCUCACGGUGCCGGUCCCUGCAGAAGAAGCCCCGGCUAACUACGUGCCAGCAGCCCGGGUAAUACGUAGGGGGCGUGCGUUAUCCGGAGUCAUUGGGCGUAAAGCGCGCGUAGGCGGCCUGUUAGGUCGGGGUUCCAAUACCGGGGCUCAACCCCGGUCCGCCCCCGAUACCGGCAGGCUGGAGUCUGGUAGGGGAAGGCGGAAUUCCCGGUGUAGCGGUGGAAUGCGCAGAUAUUGGGAAGAACACCGGCGGCGAAGGCGGCCUUCUGGGCCACGACUGACGCUGAGGCGCGAAAGCUAGGGGAGCGAACAGGAUUAGAUACCCGAGUAGUC